GACGAACGCUGGCGGCGUGCCUAAUACAUGCAAGUCGAACGCAGUGGGGACGGGUGAGUAACACGUGGGUAACCUACCAUCAGAGGGGAUAACACUUGGAAACAGGUGCUAAACCGAUACUGAUGGAUGGACCCGCGGUGCAUUAGCUAGUUGGUGAGGUAACGGCUCACCAAGGCCACGAUGCAUAGCGGACCUAAGAGGGUGGUCGUCCACACUGGGACUGAGACACGGCCCAGACUCCUACGGGAGGCUACAGUAGUGAAUAUUCGGCAAUGGACGAAAGUCUGACCGAGCAACGCCGCGUGUGUGAAGAAGGUUUUCGGAUCGUAAAACUCUGUUAUUAGAGAAGCGGUAUCUAACCAGAAAGCCACGGCUAACUACGUGCCAGAAGCCGCGGUAUUUC
rnacentral:rRNA from 1 species